CUCUCUUUCUGCUUCACUAUCCACAUGAUCCCGUAUCAAAUAAUAAUACAGUAAUGAUGAAUACAACAGAAACAAAAAAAAUUAAAAUGGGUACUUAUAACUAACAAGAUACUGUAAUCAUGCAUCAAUGAUAUAUAUUGAGGUAAUGCACAAAACGAGGUUACUAAAGAAAUCACCAAAUGUUGCAAUCAAAGCAUCCUGAAGAUGGUAUAUGACAACUAAGGAUACAUUGACCUCAAAGAAGUUAAUAGGAGUACUAGUUAAUUAAAAUUAACAAAACUACAUUCCAGUAAAUAUUUUGGCAACUGAAAUUAUAACAUCAUUCCUUAUCCAUUACUUAAUUCCUUAACUAUGGAAAAGUAAUGUACUACAAAACAAUGACUCACAAAACAUUCAAGAAGAUGCUGAUUACUGAUAAAGUUAUUGAGGUCUUAUAAGAAUAAAUGAAUAGUCAUCAUGCCAAUGUAUAUCUUGCAUCAGGAAAGAAUUUAUGUCUAACUAAGAAAAGAAUGACAGAUAACAAAGGUUGUCGAUGGAUUGAAUACUUGUGUAGAAUUAGGAUUUUGUUACAAGAAGAGAAAGACACAAUAAUGUUGUUUGAAUCCAUUCACAACUAAUUGUCAGUAUCGUCAUUAGAGAGCUAAGCGUUACUCUUGCUUCAGUAAAAGCAAACAAGGUUAAUCAAAGAAUCUUAGGGCCAAAACUAGAAACAAGAGGGGACUUAAUCGUCUUGGUUUAUCCAUAUCAGAGACAAACUAAUGCUUAAUCACAUACAAUAAGUUUCCUUCUAACUUCAGGCACAAACCAAAGUGAUUCCGUUAAUAAUCCAAGUAAGCCAUAGAUAGCAAAUUGCAGGUUUAAUUUCUAACAAGGGGAGGACAUGCGCAAGAAAACCAGCAAAGUUGUAAACUUGCUCAUAGAUGAGUCAAUUUGCACUUAUAGUGUCAAACAUAAAGGAUAAUAUAAAAUUAAAUCCCUUGUCUUUUCAUAUCUCAAAAAGAAAUGAAAACAGAUCUACCCAGUUUCAAAGACAACUAAAAUAUAAUGUUACCUAAUCAGAAAAUAUUGUCAAAUAUAAACAAGAUAAUUUAAUACUUAAGAAGAGUUAUCCAGCAAGGGGAUAAGAAAUUAAGCACUUACAACAAAUUUGUACCUAAGUUCACGGGGAGAAAAAAUUAAGCACUCAAAGUUUCCACCGUCCGAUGGAUCAUUGACAAGGAAACCUGAAAUAAGAGAGAAAUAAUAGUGUAGAAGAGAAAGGGGAGUCAGAAUAAGAGUGGUUACGGCUAGGGUGAAGACCUUAGGUUUUGGGUCUUCUUUUUUCAGUGGAAGAAUGAGAGGAAAACCGAGAAAAAGAAAAUAAGUAGGGAAACUAAAAC
rnacentral:lncRNA from 1 species